rnacentral:rRNA from 1 species
UACGUAGGGUGCGAGCGUUACUCGGAAUUACUGGGCGUAAAGCGUGCGUAGGCGGCUCUUUAAGACAGGUGUGAAAGCCCCGAGCUUAACUUGGGAAUUGCGCUUGUGACUGGCGUGCUGGAGUGUGGCAGAGGGAGGUGGAAUUCCACGUGUAGCAGUGAAAUGCGUAGAGAUGUGGAGGAACACUGAUGGCGAAGGCAGCCUCCUGGGCCAGCACUGACGCUCAUGCACGAAAGCGUGGGGAGCAAACAGG